rnacentral:rRNA from 1 species
AACGAACGCUGGCGGCAGGCUUAACACAUGCAAGUCGAACGGCAGCGCAGCAGUAGCAAUACUGUGGGCGGCGAGUGGCGGACGGGUGAGGAAUACAUCGGAAUCUACCUUGUCGUGAGGGAUAACGUAGGGAAACUUACGCUAAUACCGCAUACGAACUACGGGUGAAAGCGGCGGACCGCAAGGCGUCGCGCGAGUGGAUGAGCCGGGGUCCGAUUCGCUAGUUGGAGGGGUAAAGGACCACCAAGGCGACGAUCGGUAGCUGGGUUGAGAGGAUGAUCAGCCACUGGAACUGAGACACGGUCCAGACUCCUACGGGAGGCAGCAGUGGGGAAUAUUGGACAAUGGGCGCAAGCCUGAUCCAGCCAUGCCGCGUGUGUGAAGAAGGCCUUCGGGUUGUAAAGCACUUUUGUUGGGGAAGAAAAGGCAGCGGUUAAUACCCGCGGUUUCUGACGGUACCCAAAGAAUAAGCACCGGCUAACUACGUGCCAGCAGCCGCCGCAGUAA